GAAAAUGAUGCGUAUUUAUUGUCAUCUGACUCUGCAUCCUAUGUAUGGAUGCAAACGUAGUGAUUGACUCGUUAUAUCUGAUUC